CAAUGUCUUCAAAAUUCACCAUCAAAAAAUUCAAUGUUCAAAAUUCGCCAUCAAAAAAUUCAGUGUUCAAAAUUCUCUGUCAAAAAAUUCAAUGUUCAAAAUUCACUGUCAAAAAAUUCGCUGUUCACAUCCGGGGGACUCAGGCGUAAACAAUCGAACCAAAAUCGAACCAACGCCCAGCCAAUCACGUGGCGCUCCUCCGGUCAUGUGACGCAGACGGUUCACCUCACAAGACCGGGGUCAACCACGGCUACCAGCAUGAACGACGGCGCUUCACAACACCGUCUGAACUGACCAGUCUGGUGAAAUUCUGGACUGGAUGGGAGACUCUACCAAGAACUCUCUCCUCAGAAGUAGUGAAUGGCAGAUACCUGACAGCCUCCACCUGCUAUGAGACCUUACAUUCCCAGGACAUUACAAGGACUACACAUCAUUUAAGACUGAUAUCCUGGCCUGUAUUUGCACCAGCCAGUCAAGAUAUGUUAGGUGUUGUUGUCUAGUUAGUUUUACUUGACUGACAAAACUAAGUGCACUUUUGGAUUCCCUCCCCUACCUGUUCUCCCAACUCACCUGACAGGUUAUCUGGCUCAAUAAGGCAGCAUCAGGAGACAAACAUGGAGGAAAUAUGAGAACAGAGAGAACCCAACCAGCAGGUCACAGUUUAUCAUCAUCUAAUCAUCUCCUGAAGUCCAUAUGGUCCCUCUCUAUCUCCCCACACAUCCACCAACCACUGGAACACAUCUCCAAAGUUCUGCUGGGCCAGCUCAGCUUCCCCUCAGAAGAAGUGCUGCCACCUGCCAGAUGAAGGAGCCUUUUGAGAGGCAGCUGGGAUUGGACUGUAAAACUCCUUUAACUUAACAUCUG
ensembl:lncRNA